rnacentral:lncRNA from 1 species
CAUGGAGCCUGCUUCUCCCUCUGCCUGUGUCUCUGCCUCUCUCUCUCUGUGUGACUAUCAUAAAUAAAUAAAAAUUAAAAAAAAAAAAAAGGAAUUUUGCUACAGAGAAGUUAAUUAACUUUCCCAAAGUCACACAACUAUGAAGUGCAGUCUCCAGUAUUUGAACUCAGUGUUAGCUGUCAUCCUAUAUUGCUUCAAUGUGACUUAAUCCCUGCAACACACAAGUGGAUGUUAAUUGUGUGAGGCUGUACUUGUGAUAAUACUAUUCAUGACUUUUACCUUCCAAACUUUCUGUAACAUUCUUAAUGAAAUAUGCCUUUUAAAAAUGUUUAGGCAGAAGGCAUUUAAAGGCUUUAUGGGAAGGGAUGGAAAGUAUGACAGAGAAUGAAGGAAUCACAACCACCAGUCUAAGCCAAAGGAAAUUGCCCUCAGGCUAUAAGGCUGAGGGCUCCAUCAGUCUUUCUGACCUGACCAGCUGGGAAGCCCUUGUGUGCUCUGCAUGAGUAUAUGGGGCGGGUAGGGCCAGCGGGCAAGGGGGUUAGGGAAGUAGCAGGGCUGUCCUGUUUCUUGAUUGAGUCUCUCUGUUAGACUCAGUGGAAGAACCAAGUGUAUCCUGUGGAAUUACAUAGUGGGUUGUGAUGCACUUGAAUCAAAUGUUUGGUCCUCUCUGAUUCACCUAAGCUUAACUACCAAUACAAUAGGUCACAAGAAAUGUGAAUUGCUAGUCCCAGUCAUGAUUUUAUAUCAUAUAGAAAAAUGAAAAAAAUACUGGAAACAGAAUAUGGUUGUUUUCUCAACUCAAUAAAAAGCAUUGUCCCAGGUUCAAUUGGAACAGUUAUAUUAAUUGUACAUAUAGCUAUAGGCUAUAUGGCUUAUUAAAGUCUAUCAGAACAAUAUUGACUAAAAUUAUGUAAUUUAUUGCCAGUUAUAGAAAAAGAUGAGACCAUUUGCUGUUAAUGCUUUAGGCUGCAAUUGAGGAAAAAGAUCAGAAUUAUAAAAAUUGCCCAUAUUUUUUAAAAAUACCACUAGGAACAAAAAACAACAUUAACUCUCUUAUUUUGUCAUCUAAAUAUAAAGCAUGUUUCUUUUUUGUCAGAAAAACCAGCAAUUCUUGUAAUAAAACCUACCCUGGAGGGUAUGUAAGACUAAGCUUAGAAAAAAUGUGAAUAAAGGAAAUCAUAAAGAAUUACUUGGAGCUAUAGUUGUUGAUCAUGAGGAUUAGGCUUGACAGGAAAAUAUGUCCUUUGGGAAAAUCUAUUAAUUCUUAAUAGCAAAUUUUGCUACAACCUGUAAAAUUGUUGCAGUGUAUCUGCUGAAAACCUAUUUUACUUGAGAAACAGAAGUUUCUAAUGUCCUGAGAUCUACCCUACAUGAAAUGUGACUAUUAAAUUCUAAAUAUGAAGAUAAAAACCAAAAAAAAAAUCUAAAAUCCAAAAGUUCAUAAACAUUGAAUGGACAGAGCAUCUGGACUUACAGACAUUUACUUUUAACAUAUUUAUAUACUAAAUUUCAAAUAGAGAUUCACUGAAAUCAAGAAGAAACUGGUAUGACUAAUAUUUCAAGUGCUAAGUAGAUUAUAAAACAUAUUUUAAAAAGAUUCUCUUCUUUGUGAAUAAUUUGAUUCCCUCUUUUUUUUCCCACCGCAGUUGUCUUUCAGUCUUCAGUACAAAUAGCCUCUUAUUCCAAAAUACAGGUUAAAAUUGUGUCUAAAUAAAGUGUCUUGUUUCUGAUGGACACAGAUGCACUCUGAAACAGGCUAUUUCUUAUCUCUUAGUAAGUGUAUUGAUCUUCUUUGAAGCGUUUUUUGGUAAUCUUUGAUUACCACUAUCUAUUUGAUGUCCUAGAAUCCUGUUAUUACAGAUACAAAACCAAAAUAUCCUAGUUUUAAAGGACCUCUAAUGCUUCAGUGAUUUGGUUUUAUAAAUGUGAUUCCAGCUCUGCCUUGUUUCAGACCAUUUCAUGGAAUCUAUCAGACCAUGAAGUCUUUUAGUAAACCUCAAGAUUGCUGAAUGCAAUACAAUUAGAUAGGAUGGACUAUGUCUGCAAGGUGUAUUUCCAGUGGUCUUUGGACAGUGGGCUUUCACAAUCCCCAAAAUAAUAUGCCCAAAAAUGCUACAAUGGGAGAAACUAUUUUAAGGCCCUGAUUCUUAGUAUAGCCUAUAAAUUAAGUAUGUAGGUUACCUUAAAUUUUGCAUUUUAGAGAACUUAAUGUCUAAAACUCAAUAUUUCAAAAAUUUCCUAAACUAUAUCCAGAUUCAUUGUUUUGACAGUAAUGGGAUAAAGACAUCCAAACAUAGGAAGUAUAGAUGAGGUCCCAAAUUUAUGCCCACAGUUGUGAGCCAGGCAAGUAACAUGAAGGGAUGAAUCCAGACACAUGAUAGCUAAAGUGAGGGAAAGCUCUAAGGCAUGUCUCCCAGGAGACAUCCCAAUAAGAGACCUCCAGUACAGAUUAUCAAGUUGAGUAUGUCCUAUACCCAUCCUAGGAUGUCUUUUGACUAUUAUUUUUAAGAUUAAGUCUUGACCACAGUGAGAUACCAUUUCAUAUCCACUAGGAUGGCUACAAUAAAAAGGAUGGACAAUAAGAAGUGUUGAGGUGGAUGGAGAAAAAUUGAAGCCCUCACAUAUUGCUAAUGGAAUAUAAAAUGAUACAGCUUCUUUGGAAAACAAUUUAG